rnacentral:rRNA from 1 species
GACGAACGCUGGCGGUGUGCUUAACACAUGCAAGUCGAACGGUAAGGCCCUUUCGGGGGUACACGAGUGGCGAACGGGUGAGUAACACGUGAGUAACCUGCCCUCAUCUCUGGGAUAACAGUCGGAAACGGUUGCUAAUACUGGAUAUGAGCUUGCAAGGCAUCUUGUGGGUUGGAAAGAUUUUUUUGGUUGGGGAUGGACUCGCGGCCUAUCAGCUUGUUGGUGAGGUAGUGGCUCACCAAGGCUUCGACGGGUAGCCGGCCUGAGAGGGCGACCGGCCACAUUGGGACUGAGAUACGGCCCAAACGCCUACGGGAGGCAGCAGUGGGGAAUAUUGCACAAUGGACGGAAGGCUGAUGCAGCAACGCCGCGGGCGGGAGGACGGCCUUCGGGUUGUAAACCGCUUUCAAUUGUGACGAAGCUUUUUGUGACGGUAGCAGUAGAAGAAGCACCGGCUAACUACGUG